UACGGGGGGGGCAAGCGUUGUUCGGAAUUACUGGGCGUAAAGGGCUCGUAGGCGGCCAACUAAGUCGGAUGUGAAAUCCCCAGGCUUAACCUGGGAACUGCAUCCGAUACUGGAUGGCUUGAAUCCGGGAGAGGGAUGCAGAAUUCCAGGUGUAGCGGUGAAAUGCGUAGAGAUGUGGAGGAAUACCGAUGGCGAAGGCAGCCCCCUGGGAUAACACUGACGCUCAUGCACGAAAGCGUGGGGAGCAAACAGG
rnacentral:rRNA from 1 species